UACGGAGGAUGCAAGCGUUAUCCGGAAUGAUUGGGCGUAAAGGGUCCGCAGGUGGCAGUGUAAGUCUGCUGUCAAAGAAUGAGGCUUAACCUCAUCAAGGCAGUGGAAACUACACAGCUAGAGUACGGUCGGGGUAGAAGGAAUUCCUGGUGUAGCGGUGAAAUGCGUAGAGAUCAGGAAGAACACCGGUGGCGAAAGCGUUCUGCUAGACCUGUACUGACACUGAGGGACGAAAGCUAGGGAGCGAAUGGG
rnacentral:rRNA from 1 species